CCUACGGGAGGCAGCAGUGGGGAAUAUUGCACAAUGGGGGGAACCCUGAUGCAGCCAUGCCGCGUGAAUGAAGAAGGCCUUCGGGUUGUAAAGUUCUUUCGGUGACGAGGAAGGUUGAUAUGUUAAUAGCGUAUCAAAUUGACGUUAAUCACAGAAGAAGCACCGGCUAACUCCGUGCCAGCAGCCGCGGUAAUACGGGGGGUGCGAGCGUUAAUCGGAAUAACUGGGCGUAAAGGGCACGCAGGCGGUGACUUAAGUGAGAUGUGAAAGCCCCGGGCUUAACCUGGGAAUUGCAUUUCAUACUGGGUCGCUAGAGUACUUUAGGGAGGGGUAGAAUUCCACGUGUAGCGGUGAAAUGCGUAGAGAUGUGGAGGAAUACCGAAGGCGAAGGCAGCCCCUUGGGAAUGUACUGACGCUCAUGUGCGAAAGCGUGGGGAGCAAACAGGAUUAGAUACCCGGGUAGUC
rnacentral:rRNA from 1 species